rnacentral:rRNA from 1 species
GACGAACGCUGGCGGCGUGCCUAAUACAUGCAAGUUGAGCGCUGAAGGUUGGUACUUGUACCGACUGGAUGAGCAGCGAACGGGUGAGUAACGCGUGGGGAAUCUGCCUUUGAGCGGGGGACAACAUUUGGAAACGAAUGCUAAUACCGCAUAAAAACUUUAAACACAAGUUUUAAGUUUGAAAGAUGCAAUUGCAUCACUCAAAGAUGAUCCUGCGUUGUAUUAGCUAGUUGGUGAGGUAAAGGCUCACCAAGGCGAUGAUACAUAGCCGACCUGAGAGGGUGAUCGGCCACAUUGGGACUGAGACACGGCCCAAACUCCUACGGGAGGCAGCAGUAGGGAAUCUUCGGCAAUGGACGAAAGUCUGACCGAGCAACGCCGCGUGAGUGAAGAAGGUUUUCGGAUCGUAAAACUCUGUUGGUAGAGAAGAACGUUGGUGAGAGUGGAAAGCUCAUCAAGUGACGGUAACUACCCAGAAAGGGACGGCUAACUACGUG